GUAAUGUGACAGUGAAGAAACCUAACCUACAGUACCUUAACCAAAGUAAGUUAACAACCCCAGUGACAGAACAGAUGGAAGUCAUGUGUUUCCAGAAAUGCUGCACUAAGGACACCGCUUCUGUGGUAUUCCUGCCAAAACGUACAACCCGAACCUAAUCGCAAGGAAACAUCGACAAACCCAAAUUUGGAGGGCAGUCUAUCAAAUAACUACCUUGCACUCUUUAAAAAUGUCAAAGUCAUAAAAGACAAAGACUGAGGAACUAAUCCAAAUUUAAGGAGAAUGAAGAACAUAACAGCUAAAUGUAAUACAUGACCCUGGACUGGAUCCUGGACCAGAAAAACAUUUUUUUUCUCUUUUGCUACAUUAGCACAAUUGGUGAAAUUUAAUGAAAGUUUAUACCUUGGAUACUAGCAUUGUUUCAAUGUCAAUUUCCUGAUUUUGUAAUUGUACUAUGGUUAUAAAAGAGAAUGUCCUUGUUUUUCAGGAAAUACACACUAAAGUAUUCCACAGUAAAAGAGCAUUGCCUACAAUUUAUACUUAAACAGCUCAAGAAAAAAAGUGUAUGUUUAAAUGAAUAUAUAGGGAAACAAAGUAAUCAUGAUAAAAAGUUAAAAUGUAGGAAGUCUUGGUAAAAAGUAUACAGGAUAAUUCUUUGUACAUAUCCUUCUUCUUUUCUGUAAGUCUAAAAUUAUUUCAAACUAAAAAGCUUUUUAAAAAUUAAUUCCAGAUAGACUGAAGAUCUAAAUAUGAAAUGUAACAAAAACACUUCAAGAAAAAAAUAUAGGAGCCUAUCUUCCUGGCCUGGGAAUAGGUUAAGAUUUCUUAAACAAAACACACACACACAGACACACAAACCCAUAAAGUAAAGGUUAAAAAUUGGACUACACUGAAAUAACUUCUGUUCAUCAAAAGAUACCAUUAAAAGAGUAGAAAAAGAGACUGAGCCCAACGAUGAGGCCAGGGACAGGAGCCGAGCGCAGAGACCUCAUGAUGGGGCACCCCGGCAUGCAUUAUGCCCCAAUGGGAUGCAUCCUAUGGGUCAGAGAGUGAAUAUGCCUCUGGUACCUCAUGGAAUGAUGCCACAAAUGAUGCCCCUAUGGGAGGGCCACCAAUGGGACAAAUGCCUGGAAUGAUGUCUUCAGUAAUGCCUGGAAUGAUGAUGUCUCAUAUGUCUCAGGCAUCCAUGCAGCCUGCCUUACCGCCAGGUGUAAAUAGCAUGGAUGUAGCUGGAGGUACAUCUGGUGCAAAAUCAAUGUGGACUCGGCCGGGCGCGGUGGCUCACGCCUGUAAUCCUAGCUCUCCGGGAGGCCGAGGCGGGCGGAUUGCUCAAGGUCAGUGUGGACUGAACAUAAAUCGAAGGACCUACUACUAUAAUACUAAAACAAAACAAUCUACUUGGGAGAAACCAGAUAAUCUUAAAACACCUGCUGAGCAACUGUUGUCUAAAUGUCCCUGGAAAGAAUACAAAUCUGAUUCAGGAAAGCCUUACUAUUAUAAUUCUCAAACAAAAGAAUCUCGCUGGGCCAAACUUAAAGAACUUGAGGAUCUGGAAGGAUACCAGAAUACCAUUGUUGCUGGAAGUCUUAUUACAUAAUGAAACGGGCAUGCAAUGAUCAAAGCUGAAGAUAGUAGUAAGCAAGAAGAGUGCAUAACAGCAGCCCCGGUUCCUACAACAGAAAUUCCAACUACCAUGAGCACCACAGCUGUUGCAGAAGCAGCAGCCGCAGCUGCUGCUGCAGCCAAUGCCAGUGUUUCCACUUCUGCUUCUAAUACAGUCAGUGGAAGUGUUCCAGUUGUUUCUGAACCCGAAGUUACUUCCAUUGUUGCUACUGUUGUAGAUAAUGAAAAUACAGUAACUAUUUCAACUGAGGAACAAGUGCAACUUACUAGUACCCCAGCUAUUCAGGAUCGAGUAUUCAAGUAUCUAGUAAUACUGGAGAAGAAACAUCUAAACAGGAAACUAUAGCUGAAUUUACACCCAAAAAACAAGAGGAAGAGAGCCAACCAGCAAAAAAAAAACAUAUACCUGGAAUACAAAGGAGGAGGCAAAGCAGGCUUUUAAAGAAUUGUUGAAAGAAAAGCGGGUACCAUUCAAUGCUUCAUGGGAGCAAGCUAUGAAAAUGAUCAUUAAUGAUCCACGAUACAGUGCUUUAGCAAAGUUGAGUGAAAAAAAGCAGGCGUUUAAUGCCUAUAAAGUCCAGACAGAAAAAGAAGCAAGAUCAAAUACAAAGAGACUAAGGAAUCCUUUCAGCGGUUUCUUGAAAAUCAUGAGAAAAUGACUUCCACAAUAAGAUACAAAAAAGCAGAGCAAAUGUUCAGAGAGAUGGAAGUCUGCAAUGCAAUAUCAGAAUGUGAUCGUCUUAAAAUUUACAAAGAUGUUUUAUUCUUUCUCUCAAAAAAAGAAAAGGAACAAGCAAAGCAAUUGAGAAAGAGAAAUUAGGAAGCCCUCAAAAACAUACUGGACAACAUGGCUAAUGUAACAUAUUCUACUACUUGGUCUGAAGCACAGCAAUAUCUGAUGGAUAAUUCAACUUUUGCAGAAGAUGAGGAGUUACAAAACAUGGACAGAGAAGAUGCAUUAAUUUGCUUUGAAGAACACAUUCGGGAUUUGGAAAAGGAAGAAGAAGAAGAAGAAAAACAAAAGAGUUUGCUGAGAGAAAGGAGAAGACAGUGUUAAAAUAGGGAAUCUUUUCAGAUAUUUUUAGAUGAAUUGCAUGAACAUGGACAACUACAUUCUAUGUCAUCUUGGAUGGAAUUAUAUCCAACUAUUAGUUCUGACAUUAGAUUCACUAAUAUGCUUGGUCAGCCUGGAUCAACUGCACUUGAUCUUUUCAAGUUUUAUGUUGAGGAUCUUAAAACAUGUUAUCACGAUGAGAAGAAGAUAAUAAAAGACAUUCUAAAGGAUAAAGGAUUUGUAGUUGAAGUAAAUACUACUUUUGAAGAUUUUGUGGCAAUAAUCAGUUCAACUAAGAGAUCAACUACAUUAGAUGCUGGAAAUAUCAAAUUGGCUUUCAAUAGUUUACUAGAAAAAGCAGAAUCUCAUCAAUGUGAGAGAGAAAAAGAAGAGGCUCCGAAGAUGAAGCGAAAAGAAUCUGCAUUUAAAAGGCCGGGCGUGGUGGCCCACACCUCACCAGCAGAGGGCACACUCUGA